rnacentral:rRNA from 1 species
ACACGUAGGGGGCGAGCGUUGUUCGGAAUUAUUGGGCGUAAAGGGUGCGCAGGCUGCAUAGCUAGUCUGAUGUAAAAUGCCUCGGCUUAACCGAGGUCUGCCAUUGGAAACUGUUAUGCUAGAGUACAGGAGGGGGAGUUGGAAUUCCAGGUGUAGGGGUGAAAUCUGUAGAUAUCUGGAGGAACAUCGGUGGCGAAGGCGAACUUCUGGCCAUGUACUGACGCUGAGGCACGAAGGCGUGGGGAGCAAACAGGUUUAGAUACCCUGGUAGUCCACGCAGUAAACGAUGUACACUAGGUGGUGGGAGUUACUCUCAGUACCGUAGCUAACGCAUUAAGUGUACCGCCUGGGGAGUAUGCUCGCAAGGGUGAA